AUUGAACGCUGGCGGCAUGCUUUACACAUGCAAGUCGAACGGUAACAGCACUUCGGUGGCUGACGAGUGGCGAACGGGUGAGUAAUACAUCGGAACGUGCCUAGUAGUGUGGGAUAACUACUCGAAAGAGUAGCUAAUACCGCAUGAGAUCUAAGGAUGAAAGCAGGGGACCUUCGGGCCUUGCGCUACUAGAGCGGCUGAUGGCAGAUUAGGUAGUUGGUGGGAUAAAAGCUUACCAAGCCGACGAUCUGUAGCUGGUCUGAGAGGACGACCAGCCACACUGGGACUGAGACACGGCCCAGACUCCUACGGGAGGCAGCAGUGGGGAAUUUUGGACAAUGGGCGCAAGCCUGAUCCAGCAAUGCCGCGUGCAGGAUGAAGGCCUUCGGGUUGUAAACUGCUUUUGUACGGAACGAAAAGCCCUCUUCUAAUACAGGAGGGUCAUGACGGUACCGUAAGAAUAAGCACCGGCUAACUACGUG
rnacentral:rRNA from 1 species